rnacentral:rRNA from 1 species
AACGCGAAGAACCUUACCUGGGCUCGAAAUGGAGUGGACCGGAGUAGAAAUAUUCCUUCUCAGCAAUGGGCCGCUUUAUAGGUGCUGCAUGGCUGUCGUCAGCUCGUGUCGUGAGAUGUUGGGUUAAGUCCCGCAACGAGCGCAACCCUUAUCCCCAGUUGCCAUCAUUAAGUUGGGCACUCUGGUGAAACCGCCUCGGAUAACGGGGAGGAAGGUGGGGAUGACGUCAAGUCCUCAUGGCCUUUAUGUCCAGGGCUACACACGUGCUACAAUGGCCGGUACAAACCGUCGCAAACCCGCGAGGGGGAGCUAAUCGGAAAAAGCCGGCCUCAGUUCGGAUCGCAGUCUGCAACUCGACUGCGUGAAGCUGGAAUCGCUAGUAAUCGCGGAUCAGAAUGCCGCGGUGAAUACGUUCCCGGGCCUUGUACACACCGAUAGC